rnacentral:rRNA from 1 species
UACGUAGGGUGCAAGCGUUGUCCGGAAUUAUUGGGCGUAAAGAGCUCGUAGGCGGUUUGUUGCGUCGGCUGUGAAAUCCCGAGGCUCAACCUCGGGUCUGCAGUCGAUACGAGCAAACUAGAGUGUUGCAGGGGAGACUGGAAUUCCUGGUGUAGCGGUGAAAUGCGCAGAUAUCAGGGAGGAACACCGGUGGCGAAAGGCGGGUCUCUGGGCAACAACUGACGUGGAGACGCGAAAAGCGUGGGGGAGCGAACCGG